UACGUAGGGCGCAAGCGUUAUCCGGAAUUAUUGGGCGUAAAGAGCUCGUAGGCGGUUUGUCGCGUCUGCCGUGAAAGUCCGGGGCUCAACUCCGGAUCUGCGGUGGGUACGGGCAGACUAGAGUGAUGUAGGGGAGACUGGAAUUCCUGGUGUAGCGGUGAAAUGCGCAGAUAUCAGGAGGAACACCGAUGGCGAAGGCAGGUCUCUGGGCAUUAACUGACGCUGAGGAGCGAAAGCAUGGGGCGCGAACAGG
rnacentral:rRNA from 1 species